AUGCUAGUUGUACGAGUUUAGACUCGUAGCAGAUAGCUCAGUAACACGUGGCCAAACUACCCUAUAGAUCCAGACAACCUCGGGAAACUGAGGCUAAUCUGGAAUAGGGCUCUCAUCCUGGAGUGGAGAGAGCCUGAAACGCUCCGGCGCUAUAGGAUGUGGCUGCGGCCGAUUAGGUAGACGGUGGGGUAACGGCCCACCGUGCCAGUAAUCGGUACGGGUUGUGAGAGCAAGAGCCCGGAGACGGUAUCUGAGACAAGAUACCGGGCCCUACGGGGCGCAGCAGGCGCGAAACCUUUACACUGCACGCCAGUGCGAUAAGGGGACUCCAAGUGCGAGGGCAUAUAGUCCUCGCUUUUUGCGACCGUAAGGUGGUCGCGGAAUAAGUGCUGGGCAAGACCGGUGCCAGCCGCCGCGGUAAUACCGGCAGCACGAGUGAUGACCGCUGUUAUUGGGCCUAAAGCGUCCGUAGCUGGCCGCGCAAGUCUAUCGGGAAAUCUCUCCGCUUAACGGAGAGGCGUCCGGUGGAAACUGUGUGGCUUGGGACCGGAAGACCAGAGGGGUACGUCUGGGGUAGGAGUGAAAUCCCGUAAUCCUGGACGGACCACCGGUGGCGAAAGCGCCUCUGGAAGACGGAUCCGACGGUGAGGGACGAAAGCUCGGGUCACGAACCGGAUUAGAUACCCGGGUAGUCCGAGCUGUAAACGAUGUCUGCUAGGUGUGACACAGGCUACGAGCCUGUGUUGUGCCGUAGGGAAGCCGUGAAGCAGACCGCCUG
rnacentral:rRNA from 1 species